rnacentral:rRNA from 1 species
AUUGAACGCUGGCGGCAUGCCUUACACAUGCAAGUCGAACGGCAGCACGGGAGCAAUCCUGGUGGCGGGUGGCGAACGGGUGAGUAAAGUAUCGGAACGUGCCCAGUCGUGGGGGAUAACGUAGCGAAAGUUACGCUAAUACCGCAUACGAUCUAUGGAUGAAAGCGGGGGAUCGCAAGACCUCGCGCGAUUGGAGCGGCCGAUAUCAGAUUAGGUAGUUGGUGGGGUAAAGGCUCACCAAGCCGACGAUCUGUAGCUGGUCUGAGAGGACGACCAGCCACACGGGGACUGAGACACGGCCAAGACUCCUACGGGAGGCAGCAGUGGGGAAUUUUGGACAAUGGGCGAGAGCCUGAUCCAGCCAUGCCGGGUGCAGGAUGAAGGCCUUCGGGUUGUAAACUGCUUUUGUACGGAACGAAAAGGUUUGGCCUAAUAAGCUGAGCUCAUGACGGUACCGUAAGAAUAAGCACCGGCUAACUACGUGCCAGCCGCCGCCGUAAUAC